UACGAAGGGGGCUAGCGUUGCUCGGAAUCACUGGGCGUAAAGCGCACGUAGGCGGACUCUUAAGUCGGUGGUGAAAUCCUGGAGCUCAACUCCAGAACUGCCUUCGAUACUGAGAGUCUCGAGUCCGAGAGAGGUGAGUGGAACUGCGAGUGUAGAGGUGAAAUUCGUAGAUAUUCGCAAGAACACCAGUGGCGAAGGCGGCUCACUGGCCCGAUACUGACGCUGAUGCACGAAAGCGUGGGGAGCAAACAGG
rnacentral:rRNA from 1 species